rnacentral:rRNA from 1 species
CCUACGGGAGACAGCAGUGAGGAAUAUUGGUCAAUGGACGCAAGUCUGAACCAGCCAUGCCGCGUGCAGGAAGACGGCUCUAUGAGUUGUAAACUGCUUUUGUACGAGGGUAAACGCAGAUACGCGUAUCUGUCUGAAAGUAUCGUACGAAUAAGGAUCGGCUAACUCCGUGCCAGCAGCCGCGGUAAUACGGAGGAUUCAAGCGUUAUCCGGAUUUAUUGGGUUUAAGGGGUGCGUAGGCGGUCGGUUAAGUUAGAGGUGAAAUCCCGAGGCUCAACUUCGGAAUUGCCUCUGAUACUGGUAGGCUAGAGAGUAGUAGCGGUAGGCGGAAUGUAUGGUGUAGCGGUGAAAUGCUUAGAGAUCAUACAGAACACCGAUUGCGAAGGCAGCUUACCAAGCUACUACUGACGUUGAGGCACGAAAGCGUGGGGAGCAAACAGGAUUAGAUACCCCAGUAGUC